CCCUGAUUGCUCUCCACGUUCCAUUGACUGACCAGAGUGUCCAAGACCUGCCAAUCAAUCCUGUUUCAAACUCUAGGACACAGAGCUAGUCGAUUCCAACUUGAAAGCUCUUUUGAACACCUGAGUCUUGUACCUUCACUCAUUUCAAUCUGACAGCAUCCAAGAAACAUCAUCAGCUCAUAUCUUAACUAAAAUGUGUCCUCCUCUUUGAGGGGGAGGAAUAUUCCAAUUCUCAACUCCUCUCAUGUAUGAAUACUUGCUGUCAGGGAAUUAAAUGUAUGAAUACUUGCUGUCAGUAUGUAAGUCUAAUAUAUUCAUUGGAAAGGAAGUGUUGAAGGGACAGGGACAUUGGUUGCUCCUUUAUGUUUAGUUCUAAGAAGAACUCCCAGGAUGGAGACGAGAUGGUCUAUCUUCACUUUCGAAGCAAUUAUGUCUACAAUGUGUAAGUCUGGAAUGUGUUCAGGGCCCAGAGAAAACCCAAAUAACCCUUGAACUUGAAGCCUAUGCACUUAAAAAUCCUAGUCUUCCAAAACCAUGCUAAAUUCACUAAAGACUGCAAGACGAUGCUUAAAAGGGACUCACAUCUAUCUUUGUGGAUUGAGCAUGACUGAUAAAUCAAGGUAUUUCUCAGGUACUUGAUGAGUCAUGGACACAAUGAAGCAUCUCCAACUAUUUUUAUUCAUGUAAGAUACAAUGAAUGAUCUUUUAAUAAUGCAAACUUUUAAUAAGAUAAAAUUAAUAAGACAAAAUUCACCGACUAUUUUGUACUGGUGAUAUUAAAUGUGUAAACUAAGUGGGAAAGGUGAAGUAGGGAAAAUUCCUUUGCAUUAACUGUAAUACAAGCUUGGAGUCUGACAGCAGUGUACUUGCCUGGAGCUCUGGCUUCAGGCCAAUGAGACAAAUUUCACUUUCCUGGGAGAAGUUUGUGCAGAUCAGGGUUCAUCACACUCCGUUGGCUCAUCAAGAACAUGAUGUCACCUCUUUCUGCAGUUCCCUGAGCUCCAAUUGUUCCUGUUCCUCCUCUUGCUCACUGGAUCUACCAUAGAGAUGGAGGACAGAACUUAGGUAGAAGGGGAAGACGGGACUGAAUUCUGGGAGGAAGAAAGCAGAGUGAGAGAGACACCAUGGAUCUGCCGCCAGGACAGUUUUACAUCCAUGUCUAAAGACAACAACACAAGCCAAGCUUCUGGGACACUGGGGAUUGCAGGCACCCAACUCCUUGGACUAGAUCUACCAAGUGGAAACAAGAAACAAGGAGAUGCCAGGAAGGGCCCGAUCUGAGCCACCUGCCUGAUGGGUCACCGACCACAAGGAGCAUCUGGUGGCUGCAGUGAGCAAAAUGACUGUCAGACAACCAGAGAACACCCUUGCAUCAGCAACAGCCACCAUGAACACAGGUCUUGAGACAACAGCAGAAGACUGCAGGACGUCCAGCUCCUGAAAGAGCAGCUCAGUCAGGAGUAGCUCAUUUGUCCUGGUCAAAUUGCUCUCAUGAGUCUUCAUGAAAUAGAUAAAUGAGGUCCUUAUUUCUCAACAAGGAAGCUUCUCUUUGCAACUGAUGGAGACCAGUACCAAAAAAAAAAAAAAAAAAAAAAAACAAACAAACAAAAAAAAAAAACCCUACAAACAAUCAUACUUCAGCUUUGUGGAGCCCAGUCCCAGCGGAUAUAUCUAGAAAACACUCUCAAACCUUAGGGGAUGUUGUAGAAGAGGGAGUGGAAGAAUGAUCGGAACCAGGGGAUUGGGUAUUUUGUUCUGAGAGUAUGUCUCCUAGUAAUCUCAGAAGCUAAAUCCAUGAAGUAUCGCCAGCAUGACUGCCUGAACGUGAGUUGGACAAGAACAACAAGGACAAGAACAAUAGAAUGCUAAACUGAAAAAGGGAUGGACCAUCAGAUGUCAGCCCUAUGCAAAAAACUGCUGGUAUCUAAGGGAUGCUGACAGGAGGAGGAGGAGCUUCCCCCAAGGAGAGCAUACAAAUUGGUUACCCAGUAUCAAAUGGUCAACUCUGAAAAUACAGAUACAAGGAACAUUAUACAGACUGAGCAAGUUAUAUUUAGGAAUAUAUAUAUAUGUAUAUACAUAUAUGCAUGUAAUAACAAUUGAUA